AAUUUAAUAUGUGAGAUAUGAGUCUGGAAAAGGUCACAUAGUCAAAGAAUACCUUCUGAUUGGUUCACGUGAUGUGGCUUGCUUUAUCUUAAGCUCCCAGAAGAGAGGUUUUUGCCACUUGGCUGAUAUGGUGAUGCUUUGUGGCCUAUGUGGAGCAUUCUGUUUCUGUUGUCUUGAAUGUCAAGUAGCAAGUGACAUGAAUGAAUGCUGCUGUUGUGGCGGAAGCGUUGCCAUGAGGACUCUCUACCGGACAAGAUACGGAAUCCCUAUCUUCAAUACCUGAAGGAUGCAGGUGAAUUGGAAGGAAAUUAGAGAAGAGCAGUGAAACUAAUUUGGAGCAUGGAGGCAUUGACCGUUAAGGAAAAUUCAGAGCUAAAUAUGUACAGUUUUUGACAGUCAGUGGGGGCUAUAACUGCAAAGACCUGAAAGGUAUAGGGCAGUGUGUUAAGGAGUGGUGUGAGGACUAGUAAAAGGAUGAAGUUAAGAAAAGGAAUAGUUUGGCUGAAUAUCAGAAACUACAUCCUAACCCUAAAUGCAAAAAACUGUUUACCCGUUGAAAAAUUCCACCACUGGAAACAUUUAAAAUGGAAACUGGCCAGAACCCCAGAGGUUACUCUAUAAGGAACAAUCCUGCACAGGGAUCCAUCUGCUCUGAUUUCUGCAUUAUCCUGUGGUGUCCUGUGUGUUCUGUUUGUCAAAUAAAGAGAGAUAUUAACAAAAGGAAAAAAUUAAGGCUAUUCUAAUAAGAGCCAAAUCCUGUCCUCAUAACUCUCCAGCCUCCUUCAUUUGAGGCGGAUUCAUUAAAAUAUACAGGUCUGCACUACAAGCAAUGAUAAGCAAUCAAGCAGCGUGUUCCUGUGCUUCUUGAUUGUGUGUCGUACAGCCUCCAUAUACAAGAGUCUUCCCACCGCCUGCUGUACUUACAGUUCAAGAAAGUGCUGUAUGCAUUUUAAUUUGAUUGUUGCAAAGCACAACUUAGCUGAAAAAAGUCAAAGGAAAGAAACAUCCUCAAUUUUAUCUUUGCAUGUAUGUGUGUUAACUUUCACUACUGCUUCUCAAGUACCACUGUAUGUACUAAGCUGUCUUGCCUUGAUUAUCAUACACAUUGUAAGGAGAUUGAUCACUUUAGAUAAGCUAUUACCAGCAGGAGAGUGGGGUGGGGGGAGAAAACCUUUUGAAGUGAUAAACACCCAUUUUUUCAUGGUCUGUGGGUAUAAAAACAUCCUCACUGCAUUUUCCACUUUAAUGCAUCCGAUGAAGUGAGCUGUAGCUCACGAAAGCUUAUGCUCAAAUAAAUUGGUUAGUCUCUCAGGUGCCACAAGUACUCCUUUUCUUUUUGCAAAUACAGACUAACACGGCUGCUACUCUGAAACUUGAAAAGAGUAUUCUCCUGUUCUUAAUAUCAUGCUAAUGCUCGUAUACUCUAGGCCUAUUGUAUUCUCUCAUCGCUAUUUCUGCUGCCAUCCUAUAAGAACACAAGACAGAAUAAAUGCCGAUUGUUAACUUA